AAGACUGUACUUUUAGGGAUUAUUUCUAAAGAUUUUGUCUUGAGAAAUGUGUUUCUAAAGUGAAGGUCUUGCUAACCAUGAUGAUGAGAUUAGAUGUUUUCUUCCUGAACAUGAAGCUGACAUGGAACAAUGAUUCUGUCAUGUGUUUUUUGUCAUUGAUGAUUGUUCUUUGCUUCUUAAUGAGGUUUUGAUGGAGGGAAUAUGUUCAGAGUGGU